CCAGAGUGUACCCAUGUGUACAUGGAAUGGUUGUUAGCCUGGAUAUUUUUUAAAACAUUUACAAAGGUUACUAUAGAGGUCUAUGGGAAAACAUUUGGUGUGUAACCUCAAUGGCUCUGGGAAUGUGGUGUAACAAAGGGAAAUAACUCUGGUUGACAGGUGUUGAAAGAGUUAAAUAUGUAUUAAAAUUCUGUUCCUGAGAACAAUUUUCAGUAUAUAUUUAUAAACAGAGCAAUUUAUACUAGAAAAGAGUUGGUGCAAAUGAAGAUAAUUGAAACAAAUAUUUACUCUUUUUGUCAAUCUGAACCAGAAAGCCUCCAUGUAUUCACAAAAUGUAAUCUUGUACAGGAAUUUUGGAGAAAAGUUCAAAACUUUAUUAAUCCUACACAUUGUAAUGUUCCUAUUUCUGAUCAAGACAUUCUCUUUUGCAACAGUUCAGCUAGUCUACUAGCAACACACAUUAUCCUGUUGGCCCAAAAAUAUGUUUUUUCUUCAAGUAUAAAACAGAAUGAAAUAUCCAGUGAUUGUUUUGCUAAUAUCGUCAAGGAUGUGUAGAAAGAAUUAUUGCUUGUAAGAACAAUGUUUUGCCUUAAUUUCAUUCCAAAUGGAAACCUAUGAACAAUGUAUCAUAGAUAUAUAUAAUUAUACACCUCACAUGUCCAUCAUUUUAUGAGCGCUUCAUUGUAUAUGCUCUGAAAAACAAUGAUAAAUGAAAUCAAACUGUACACCUGCUGAACUGAAAUGAAUAAAAAAAUUGAAAAAAGAACCCCCAUACUGUGCAAAAUUGUGCAUGGAUGUAAAUAGGGUUGCUUAAUAACCAGUUUCUCGAGAACAAUUUAGUUUGUAGCAUAGAUUAACUGGGGUUUACUUGCUGUAUUUUUGUAUGUUCUGGUUCAGAUACCUCUUGCUUCCAACUUCAUGAAUGUAUAUCUUCCAUUUCAGUUCUAUACUACAUAUACUUUUGAAGUGUAAAUGUCAUUCAUAAGAAUAAUUUUUGCAUUAAUAAAAAAAUUCACAACAUGAUUUUCAUUCUAAAUUUGGUUAAUGGAGUAGUUUUGUGUAAACUUUACACAGUUGUUUUUGUAACAAGGUAUGAACUAACGGUACUCUACUCUUUCAACAGUUGACACCUCCCCAAGUCAUCCUGACGAAUAGAUGACGAUGAAAGCAAUCUGACAAGGUAUUACAUUAAUCAAAUUAAUUGGAUUUUAACAAAACCAUGUCUCCUGCUGUAUGACAAUGAGGACUGAACUAAUGGUUCAUUGACUAUUUUUUUCAAAGCGGCACAGAUUUUCAGGUGUCUAUCUAUAUUUUUUCCAAAAGAUGUCAUCUGAUGACCAAACAUGAAAACAAAUAUGGAAUAUUCCAUGUAAUGUAAGUUCUGACAUCCAUGCAGACAUCUUCCUCAAUUGACCUACGCCCUGAUAUAACUGACCUACUGUUGCUUAUAGGGCUGGGACGAUUCACCGAUACAUCGCGAUACAAUUAAGUUUGUUACAGCUAUCGUAUCGUCAACUGGUGUAUCGAUACAAAAUGAUACACAAGUUUUUUUCAAAACGGUUUUAUCUUAAACAUGUUAAAGUACUUAGGCCAAAAAGAUGUAUGUCCGUUUCCUAUUACAUCCUUUUUUAAAAAUAGGGAAGGUGGGUCGGCUUUAUUAUCUUAUUUUUUUUUUAUUUUUUUUUUUUGUAGCACCAGGUGGGCACCUGAGAAGGUUUUCAAAGAUAUCACAUCAUGUAGUGACAAUGCCUUGUGGUGAAACAUUGAAAGAUUUCUAUAUCAAAUCAUUAUUCAUGCUAUAUUGAUACUAUGAGAUCAGCAUUUCAGUAUCAUUAGAAACUCCACAAACAGGUGUCAGUGGACGAGGCCAUGGUUCCUUUCAAGGGCAGGCUCGGCAUCAAACAGUAUAUGAAGGACAAGCCUACAAAGUUCGGAGUGAAAGUCUGGGUAUUGGCGGAAUCUGUCACUGGGUAUUGUUGGAAUUUUGAUGUUUAUGCCGGUAAGUAUGGUACCAAAAUUGACAGCAAGUUAGGCCUUGCUGGACAGAUAGUGAUCAAAUUGUGUGAAAACAUAAUUGUCACAAAUAGCCCUUUAGCCACAAUCACCAAGAGUGGAUCGCCCACACACACCAUCUGAUAAUAGGUUGAUGCAUGUGCUGCAUGGGGAAUACAUGUGCUGUUGUGUAUUUAAGAGAGUGAUUGGAGAGGAGUGUUAAACAGAUGAUAUAUUUGCUUGAAGUGGAUGCAUGGGCUAUUAUGAGCCUGUUGAUGUUGAACAUCAGGGGCAUGGUAGUUGUUGACAAAUGAUGCACGUCAAGUAUUUGUCUUGUCCUAGCUACGCCUACAUGUAUGUUCGAGUGUGGAACGUCGUCAGCUGUGAUGUCAUUGGGUCGGCAGUGUAACCAAAAGACUUUGGUAAAGUUGUUACAUUGACUGCGUGAAGCAACUCAGUCUUGUGUUGGCUAUUCUUCAUCCCACGUUAUGGUGGAUACUCAUGCCCACGUUAUGGCGGUGCAUUAGUGCUGUAGACGCACACUAACAUUAACUUUUCAUUCAAGUGUAUGACUUGUAUUUCUCAUGGUAUGAUGAGACAAUCGUAUCCAAGCCUGCGUUAUGGUGGGACAGUAAUGAUAUAACUGCACGUGAACUUCUUUCAAGUGUUUGACUUGUACUAGUAUAUCUGUUUAGAAACAUUUAUUUGAUGUAUUUAUUGUAUGUUUGGUACAUGUGAAUGCUUCAGCGAAUAGUGUUUGCAUGUGUGGAUUGUUUGCACAUGUAUUUAGGUUGGUGAGUAGUUGUUGGGAGCAUUGACAUUGAUUACAUGAAGUAGUUUUGUUCAUAAUAAACUUUAUUUAUUUUGUUUACAAUUUCGUCUUUUCGUUCGGGGUCUAUACCAGUGCUACCCUUGGUCACUAUCUGUUGCAGAAACAUACUUACCUGUGUGGCACAGCUCGUACCAACAGGAAGGGCUACCCCGCCGUUCAUCUCCCUUCAGGUAAGGCAGCAAAUCGUCUGCAGAGAGGGACCAUCGACUGGCGAGCUUGUGGGGACUUCGUUGCAACCAUGUGCAAAGAUAACAAGCCUCUUUUCUACCUCAGCACGGCACACUCUCCCGAGGAAGAUGGUUUGACCACCAAAAGGAGGAAGAAGGAUGUGAAGGAUUAUGGAAAGUAUAUGGGAGGGGUUGAUAGGUUAGACCAAAACACUCGCCAAAAUAAGGGCAAAAAACCCAUGAGGUGGUAUAGGCGUGUUGAGGUGAAGUUGAGAGAGAUAGCCAUUUACAAUGCCUAUGUCAUUGAAGGUACCUUCAUCAACCACAUGCCAGGUGGGAAUAGAAAGCGAGAUAUGCUGGCCUUCAAGCUUGGACUGCUGCAUCAACUCAUUCGAGGGUACCGUCAGGACAGGAGGCUAGGUCGUUCCAGAUGAGUCAUCGUUGGAGCAGGAACGCUUGGAUGGGAACGGUCACUGGCCAGUGCCGUCAGGUAGUCUUGACACCCGGUGCUUGGUUUGUGUGAAGAUGCACAAUGUGUAUCGUGUGCAGCACCCAGGUACAAAGUAUGCUGACAAUCCAUUUAAACGAACGAAAUCAUCCUUUAAAUAUGCUCAAAAUGCAAUGUUCCAUUGUGUGUAAAUUCAACAAAGUCAUGCUUCAUGUACUACCACACUAAAGUGCAGUACUGGCGUUGAUGUUUACAUACUGAUGAAAUGUUUCACACCUGUUGUUCAUGAAAGUUUCUAUUUGCCAUUGCUUAUGAUUGUGGGUGUACAUAUUCAUAUAUUUGAACCUUGAGCGCCUGACAGGCGAUUGUAUUCUCCACAGGGAGUGUUCUGUACUCAUUGACCAGGGGUAAUAUAUGAGCGCUUUGAGCGUGGAUAAAUGCGCAAAAUAAACGGACUAUUAUUAGUAUUACUAUUAUAUAUAUAUAUAUUGAUUACUAUUUAUUCAUAUUUAUUGAACAUUUACACUUAUGUUUCUGUUAUAAAUUAUUUUUGUACAGUAGAUUUCUUUGUGUGUAUAUAUAUUUAUUGUCUUCCUUUCCAAACUUCUCUCUCCUUUCUUUUCUACAGGCAAAAAGUGAGUAUUGAGGUGGCAUGUAACUUUCAAUGUAGUUUUAGCUAACCUGAUGUCACAUUGUUAGAAGCGAAAAAAUCAGCUGAGUGUUAACAUGUUUUUUCUUGUCAUGCCAGGUAAAAACGGCAUCAUCAAAGCGAGAUAAUCACACCUGCCAAUCAAGCUUCAGCUACCUGUGCCAUCUAAUGAUGGAAAACAUUUUAUUUGCACUGUCAAUGUAUGAUAUUUGACAAUAAAGUAAUUUUGCCCUUUUGUCAACUUUUGUCUUUUUUUCACUUGGUCCUGCUGACCAUGGCAAAUGAAAUGAUCUUUCAGACGAGUUGCUGCUGCAUAAUAUUGCCUCUUUAUUAUUCUAGAUUCCAAUAUAAUAUUCCUUUUGUAUGAAAAGCAUUAAUAUUUCAACUAUUCAACUUGAAACACUCAGAAAAUACCCUGUGAUAUAAUUUCAGGUGAAGAAAAGGGUCAUUUCAAAAGGGAGGUAAUCCAGUCACCACACCUGCCAAUCAAGCUUCUUUUUUUUUUUAUACCUGUGAUGGCAAAAUAUAUAAAGCCUAUGUACUUUGCAUAUUAUAUGAUAAUACAAUAAUAUAUUUCAACCUAAAGUGAUUUUUGUGCAUUUUUACUUUCCUGGACUAACGAGUUUACCUGAGCUAACGAGUAUACCUCUUGUAGAUGCAGCAACACCCCUUAAAAAUGUUGUGUUGAUGUUCCAUUGUAAAAUAUAAUGUCAACACGCAAACAACUUUUAUAUGACAUACAAAUAUAUUUCAUUAUUUCAGCGAAGCAAUUCUGCACCUGGAUGAUUCUCUCACCUGUACAACACCUGGAUGACCUGCUUUUCUACGGAUUGCCAAAGAUCAUAAGACACUAUUUAUUGCCUGUUAUCGCAUUUUUGGGACUAAUAUAUAUAUAUAUAUUUAUUUCUUCA